rnacentral:lncRNA from 1 species
AAAUUUUAGAAUUUGAACCAAUUUUAUCUUUAGUCUUCUGAUUUAUAUAAAGAUGAUAAUUAUAGUUAACUCAUAUCGUAAAGCCAAAGAAGAAGAAUAAGAUCACAAUCAUGUCACAUUUUAGAAAGAGUUAUUUUUAUUUUAUUACUCUAGUGAAUAACAACACAUUAAAUUUCAAACAGAAUCACACCAAACAUUUUAAUUUAAACCCUAUCAUCAGCACCCCCUCCAAAACCGCCGCCUGUACCGCCCCCAAAGCCUCCACCAGCUCCACCACCACUUCCAGCACCACCUCCAAAGCCUCCACCAGCUCCACCACCACUUCCAGCACCACCUCCAAAGCCUCCACCAGCUCCACCACCACUUCCUGCACCACCUCCAAAGCCUCCACUUCCACCACCACUUCCAGCACCACCUCCAAAGCCUCCACCAGCUCCACCACCACUUCCUGCACCACCUCCAAAGCCUCCACCAGCUCCACCACCACUUCCUGCACCACCUCCAAAGCCUCCACCAGCACCACCUCCACCAUCACUUCCAGCACCACCUCCAAAGCCUCCACCACUUCCCCCACCUACUCCAUCUCCAAUACCUCCGCCAGAUCCACCUCCAAAGCCUCCACCAGCACCACCACCACUACCACCUCCCAAACCUCCACCUCCACCUAAACCACCACCACUACCACCUCCAAGACCUCCAUCAUAACCACCUCCACUUCCUCCUCCUAGACCACCACCACUACCACCUCCAAAUCCACCACCACCUAAACCACCUCCACCACCACCACCUAAACCACCACCUCCACCAAAAUUCUCAACAAAUUCUGCUUUCUUAAAUUUCCGGCAUUCAGAAGUUCCCAUCACCAACACAAAUAUAACAGCAAAUACUCCAACAUACUUGCCUAAACUUCCCAUCUUAAUUCACACAAUAUAACACACAAAAUUGUAUCAGAACUAUAAAACCUUGCUUUGUACUUAUGCUGAUAAUGCUUCACAAGAAGUUCUAUUUAUAGAAGCACAUAGCAUUAAGAGUUUCGAACUAAAAGCCAUUAUUUACAUGUAAAAAAGUAAAACCUACACCUAUCAACAAAAACUAUAAGUGAGAUCGCAUUUAUUAGUCAAUGGUGAAGCUAACGACUUCGUACAAGGUUGCUCCCACCAUGUGUAUAUAUGUGUUGGCCAAAAACCAUAUGUGCGGCGUAAUAGAUCGGGUAGAUCAUCAUGUCGGUGUCAAAAUUAAUACUAAGAUGGUAUUUGUAUAAUGUUCAUACAUCUAUGAC